rnacentral:rRNA from 1 species
GUGGGGAAUAUUGGACAAUGGGCGAAAGCCUGAUCCAGCCAUGCCGCGUGUGUGAAGAAGGUCUUCGGAUUGUAAAGCACUUUAAGUUGGGAGGAAGGGCAGUAAGUUAAUACCUUGCUGUUUUGACGUUACCGACAGAAUAAGCACCGGCUAACUUCGUGCAAGCAGCCGCGGUAAUACGAAGGGUGCAAGCGUUAAUCGGCAUUACUGGGCGUAAAGCGCGCGUAGGUGGUUUUGUAAGUUGGAGGUGAAAUCCCCGGGUUCACCCUGGUAACUUCCUCCAAAACUGAAUGACUAGAGUACGGUAGGGGGUAGUGGAAUUUCCGGUGUAGCGGUGAAAUGCGUAGAUAUAGGAAGGAACACCAGUGGCGAAGGCGACUACCUGGACUGAUACUGACACUGAGGUGCGAAAGCGUGGGGAGCAAACAGGAUUAGAAACCCCUGUAGUCC